GUGGCGUACGGGUGAGUAACACACGAGAACAUACCUUGAAGUGGGGUACAGCUUGGUGAAAACCAAAUUAAUACCGCAUAAAUGCCUUGUGCUGUUAGGUGAAAGAGGGGGACCUAAAUGGCCUCUUGCUUCAAGAUUGGCUUGUGCUUGAUUAGCUAGUUGGCGUGGUAAAUGCACACCAAGGCAAUGAUCAAUAGUUGGUCUGAGAGGACGAUCAACCACACUGGAACUGAGAUACGGUCCAGACUUCUAUGGAAGGCAGCAGUGGGGAAUCUUGGACAAUGGGGGCAACCCUGAUCCAGCGAUGUCGCGUGUGCGAUGACGGCCUUUGGGUUGUAAAGCACUUUUGUCUGGGAUGAAGGCCAAGCAGUUAACACCUGCUUUGUUUGACAGUACCAGAAGAAUAAGCACCGGCUAACUACGUGCCAGCAGCCGCGGUAAUACGUAGGGUGCAAGCGUUAAUCGGAAUGAUUGGGCGUAAAGGGUGUCUAGGUGGCUUGCUAUGACUGCAUGUUAAAUCCUAAGGCUUAACCUUUGUCAGCAUCAGUUACUAGUAGGCUAGAGUAUGAAAGAGGGAGACGGAAUUCUGCAUGUAGCAGUGAAAUGUGUUGAUAUGCAGAGGAACACCAAGGCGAAGGCAGUCUCCUAGGUCAAUACUGACACUCAAACACGAAAGCAUGGGGAGCAAACAGGAUUAGAUACCCUGGUAGUCCAUGCCCUAAACGAUGUCAACUAUCCAUUGGAAGUGCUUCUUUCAGUGGUGCAGCUAACGCUUAAGUUGACCGCCUGGGGAGUACGAUCGCAAGAUUAAAACUCAAAGGAAUUGACGGGAAUCUGCACAAGCGGUGGAUGAUGUGGAUUAAUUCGAUACAACACGAAAAACCUUACCUACUCUUGACAUGGACUGGAAUUCUGUUGAGAGAUGGAAGUUCCCAAGCUGUUUAUGGGGCUAAGUCCACAGGUGCUGCAUGGCUGUCGUCAGUUCGUGUCGUGAGAUGUUGGGUUAAGUCCUGCAACGAACGCAACCCCUAUUUUCAGUUACUACUAGAUGUCUUAGCUGCUCUGAAAAAACUGCCAGCGAUAAGUUGGAGGAAGGUGGGGAUGACGUCAAGUCCUCAUGGCCCUAAUGGGUAGGGCUUCACACGUCAUACAAUGGUUUGGACAAAGAGUUGCCAACUUGCAAAAGGGAGCUAAUCUCAUAAACCUUACCUCAGUUCGGAUUGCACCCUGAAACUCGGAUGCAUGAAGCCGGAAUCGCUAGUAAUCGUGGAUCAGCAUGCCACGGUGAAUUCGUUCUCAGAUUUUGUACACACCGCCCGUCACACCAUGGAAGCAAAUUUCAUCAGAAGCAG
rnacentral:rRNA from 1 species